UGAUAGAUAGAUAGAUAGAUAGAUAGAUAGAUAGAUAGAUAUAGAUUCUAUCUAUCUAUCUAUCUAUCUAUCUAUCUAUAUCUAUCAU